rnacentral:rRNA from 1 species
UAACACAUGCAAGUCGAGCGGAAACGAGUUAUCAGAACCUUCGGGGAACGAUAACGGCGUCGAGCGGCGGACGGGUGAGUAAUGCCUAGGAAAUUGCCCUGAUGUGGGGGAUAACCAUUGGAAACGAUGGCUAAUACCGCAUGAUGCCUACGGGCCAAAGAGGGGGACCUUCGGGCCUCUCGCGUCAGGAUAUGCCUAGGUGGGAUUAGCUAGUUGGUGAGGUAAGGGCUCACCAAGGCGACGAUCCCUAGCUGGUCUGAGAGGAUGAUCAGCCACACUGGAACUGAGACACGGUCCAGACUCCUACGGGAGGCAGCAGUGGGGAAUAUUGCACAAUGGGCGCAAGCCUGAUGCAGCCAUGCCGCGUGUGUGAAGAAGGCCUUCGGGUUGUAAAGCACUUUCAGUCGUGAGGAAGGUAGUGUAGUUAAUAGCUG